CGUGGAUCGAUUUGUCUGGUUUAUUCCGAUAACGAGCGAGACUCUAGCCUACUAAAUAGUAACGAGAUUACCAUUGUCUUAGUUGCUUCUUAGAGGGAUUUUCGGUGUUUAGCCGCACGAGAUUGAGCAAUAACAGGUCUGUGAUGCCCUUAGAUGUCCGGGGCUGCACGCGCGCUACACUGGCGAAAUCAGCGUGCUGUAUCCAUUCUCGAAAGAGAUUGGUAAACCCAUGAAAAUUUGCCGUGAUUGGGAUCGGAAAUUGCAAUUAUUUUCCGUGAACGAGGAAUUCCAAGUAAGUGCGAGUCAUCAGCUCGCGUUGAUUACGUCCCUGCCCUUUGUAC
rnacentral:rRNA from 1 species